UAGGGAAUCUUCCACAAUGGACGCAAGUCUGAUGGAGCAACGGCCGCGUGAGUGAAGAAGGUUUUCGGACCGUAAAGCUCUGUUGUUGGUGAAGAAGGAUAGAGGUAGUAACUGGCCUUUAUUUGACGGUAAUCAACCAGAAAGUCACGGCUAACUACGUGCCAGCAGCCGCGGUAAUACGUAGGUGGCAAGCGUUGUCCGGAUUUAUUGGGCGUAAAGCGAGCGCAGGCGGAAGAAUAAGUCUGAUGUGAAAGCCCUCGGCUUAACCGAGGAAUUGCAUCGGAAACUGUUUUUCUUGAGUGCAGAAGAGGAGAGUAGAACUCCAUGUGUAGCGGUGGAAUGCGUAGAUAUAUGGAAGAAUACCAGUGGCGAAGGCGGCUCUCUGGUCUGCAACUGACGCUGAGGCUCGAAAGCAUGGGUAGCGAACAGGAUUAGAUACCCCUGGUAGUCCAUGCCGUAAACGAUGAGUGCUAAGUGUUGGGAGGCUUCCGCCUGCUCAGUGCUGCAGCUAACGCAUUAAGCACUCCGCCUGGGGGAGUACGACCGCAAGGUUGAAAC
rnacentral:rRNA from 1 species